rnacentral:rRNA from 1 species
UACGUAGGGUGCAAGCGUUAAUCGGAAUUACUGGGCGUAAAGCGUGCGCAGGCGGUUAUGUAAGACAGAGGUGAAAUCCCCGGGCUCAACCUGGGAACUGCCUUUGUGACUGCAUAGCUAGAGUACGGUAGAGGGGGAUGGAAUUCCGCGUGUAGCAGUGAAAUGCGUAGAUAUGCGGAGGAACACCGAUGGCGAAGGCAAUCCCCUGGACCUGUACUGAAGCUCAUGCACGAAAGCGUGGGGAGCAAACAGGAUUAGAUACCCUGGUAGUCCACGCCCUAAACGAUGUCAACUGGUUGUUGGGUCUUCACUGACUCAGUAACGAAGCUAACGCGUGAAGUUGACCGCCUGGGGAGUACGGCCGCAAGGUUGAAACCCAAAGGAAUUGACGGGGACCCGCACAAGCGGUGGAUGAUGUGGUUUAUUCGAUGCAACGCGAAAACCUUACCCACCUUUGACAUGUACGGAAGUCGCUAGAGAUAGCUUCGUGCUCGAAAGAGAACCGUAACACAGGUGCCUGCAUGGCUGUCGGUCAGCUCGUGUCGUGAGAUGUUGGGUUAAGUCCCGCAACGAGCGCAACCCUUGUCAUUAGUUGCUACAUUCAGUUGGGCACUCUAAUGAGACUGCCGGUGACAAACCGGAGGAAGGUGGGGAUGACGUCAAG